UUAGCUCAGCUGGCUAGAGCGCCUCGCUUACACCGAGGAGGUCGUUGGUUCAAGUCCAUCA
rnacentral:tRNA from 1 species